rnacentral:lncRNA from 1 species
GAGAAUUUAGUUUUGAAAUGUGCAGUCAUAAUUUAUUUUUUAAAAAAAAUCGUUUUAUCUAAUAAGGUAUGAUAACGAGAUGCAGUUGUUUUUAUAUUGUUUAAAGUUUUUUUUUUUUUUCAUGUUGUUGAAUUAUCAUACUUACGAAAGUUAAAGAUAUGGUAUAACAUGUAUGAUAUGGCCAUCUGGUACCAAAAAUAAUUAUUGAGCUCUUACCGAUUCCUAAAGAUAUGAUGAUGGUAUGAUAUUUUUGACACAUGAUUUAAAUAUUGUUAUUUGGGAUAGCACAAUUAUUCGUAUCCUAUUUAGUAUUCUCAUAUACUCACCAUUUUAUCCUACUCCUUACAGGUUAGAACGAUAGUUGGUUGGCGGACGAUGAGGUACAGUCGUGGUGCUAGGAUUCUUUGGACUUAAUAAAUCAAAUUCGGUGUAAUGUGACCAAAGAUUUUAUUUUCAUCAUUUGUUUUAAUUUUAUUAUUAUGUGGAUUUGUGAUUUAGGAUUUGGAACACGGUUUAUUGGGUUAUAUUUUCCAUAUGAUUUAUUUUCAUUAUUUAUAUCGGUG